UUGCUUUUUACACAAUUCCUUCAUUGCCAUUGCCUGUUUGUUUUCUUCUGAUCCCUGACAGUUUCGAUUUAGCUCAGCUGUUCUCUCCUUGCCUGCGAUUUAUGUUUUGUGCUGGGUUGCCUCUCCUCGCUUGGUUUUUUUCUCUUCGUUUGGGUUUUAGGAUAGAGGGAUCCAGUUUUUGUGUGUAUAUCAAUUUGGUUUAGGCGGUACACCUUCACACUGGAUGGCUCCCCUAAAAAACGUAGCAGACCAAAGUUGUGCCUGACCUAAGAGGUGGCAGAGGAGCUCAGGGCGGUGAAGCAAUUGCACAAUGCUACUUGUCAGGACACAGUUGUAGACAGAUUUAUGAUGGACUUGUACAUUGGUUGGAAUGUCCUCAUCCACGGAAGUACAUGGUUUUAAACUUUGCCAAAAUUUCAUUCAUUUUUUUUAGUCUCUAUUCCCUGUCAAAUGCUAACCCUCCGGGUUUAUUUAGAUUGUGAGUAGGCAUAUACUCCUUUACCCAGCCUUUGAUGGAAUCAGCGGUGCAAUCUUUUGCUGGUGUUUUUAAUCCUUGUCUCCUUCUACUUCGGCGGCGAUUAUAGUUUAAACAUUCUUCAGAGGUCUCUAGCAUUGUUGUGUUAGUAAAGGGAAUUGGAUUGUAAGAACUGCAGUUGUGGCAAAGGGACCCUCAACUGGAGAAAAAGAUUGUUGCAGCUACUGCUCUUGAAGUGAGAGCUACAAGAAUACCUUAUGCCUUUGCACCUUGUAUUGUGGUACAUAAUUGUGGAAAAAUUUAAUUCCAGAGAUCAGAAUACUUCCUUCACUUGGUUUGCUCAGCAGUUCUUAGAAAUAUAUUUAGUUAAGGUACUAUUUUGGUUUCUCUUCACUAAAUAGUUAUAAACCAAUACCUUGAAUUGCUUUCCGAACUUGAAGCUUCAACUCUAAGAAGAUCAAGACUCAUAUCUAUAGUCAAAAUAUGUAUAUUCUGAAUUCUUCCUUUUGCUGUCUUCGCAAGACUUUUUAUUGUCAACUUAUUUUUAUAAGUCCUUCUGUCUGGUGCCUUCUAUAAUUGUGGUCGAUAUGCAAUCCAAGUCGGUGAUAGAAAUAUUACAAGAUUUACCGUUAGACUCCUGUAUUCCUCUUCAAGAACGUACUAAUUAUAUGAUCAUGUGUAAGUUUACUUGAUACCAGUGUGUAAUUCUAUUUAACUUAAUCCAUAACCAAAUAAAGGAUAUAUAAAUUCCUUUAACAUGUACUAAACAUGCAAAUAAAAUUGUAUACAUUUAUAAGCUGUCUCAUGUAAAUUUUUACAUAAUAAAAAGAACCAGACCUAGAGAUUGACAUGAAUAAAAAUUUGACACAUAUUGACAUGGAUAAAAAUAUUUUGUUUCCUACUGAUGUCCAUCAAUAACAAUACAAAUUUUAGCCAUUUUCUACAAAAUGACCUGUGCCUCUCACACUCUUGUUUAUCCUGUUCAAGAUAAAGAAGAUAUAUGCAUUAAUAAUGAAGCUUUCAUGAUUAUGAGGUAAGUCACAGUUGGAAAUUCUCAGCAGAUUAUAAGUUACCUUCAUAUUCUUUAACUUAUUUUAACCACUAUCUCAUUGGUGUCGUCAUCCUUAGCAGAGAAAGAUGCAGAGUCCUCCACUUCUAUAAAUGCUUUUCGUCUCAUUAGCAUGGCCUCAAGCGUGGAUCUUUCAGGCUUCUUCGAGAAAGAGCAGGACAUUUCUGAGAGGACCAUCAGAUUUACAUCUCAUCAUUCUCCAAAAAAAUUGAUUGAGGGGAUUGGAUUCAUUGUUACACAGAUGGGUUUUUUAUUCCGGAAGAGAAGUGGACAGGUCAGUUAAUUAUCAGGCUACUAGCUGAUCAUUUGUUUUCUUUCAAAUUUAUUCAUUCUGUUCCCUUCUCUGACCCGAGUCUCCUCCUAAACCGAGCUAUGCUACCAUCUUAAGUUUUCAAAACACACCAACAAGAUCCUAUGCUACAACAAACAUUAUUCAACAGAAACAACAUGUAGUAAAAUAUCUCUUGCUUAUUGAAUAUUAACUCAAAUACCCAGAAAUUUAGCUAAUUGUCGCUUAAUUUGGGCCAAUGUGGUUGGCCUUAAACUCAAAUUCUACAUUUAUUUUAAUCUACUCAACAGCUCAAUUUUCGCGAUAUGAUUCUUAUUCGAACUCAUGCUUAUGUCAUUUCCCUGCUUUUAAGUCUUAUGUUAAGCCCUAUGUGUGUGUUUAUAAAUAUUUCCUCUUGGAGAGAGACAAUAAUUAAACAUUAGAGUGUAAUUUAUUUAAUCUACAAAUUGCUUAAAGAUGAAUAAAAAGGCUUCAUAUAAAUUACAGGCUGAUUCAAAACCAUUGUCUGAGAAAUAAAGAACCAAGUAUAUUAUCUUGUAUUCUGUUGCAAGGAAUUCAAUUGGGGGGAAGGGGUGUAGAACUAAAUAUAAAUAUUAGUACCAAUGUGGAGACUUAUGCAUGAUACUGAUUCCUUCCUCAAUUCUACUUUACAUAUAUGAACUAGAUUUCAAUCUCAUCAUUCUAACAUGCUCAAAUCUCAUCGUAGAAAGAAGUUAGCCAGACGGAGUUUUUUCUUUUUAAUGCUAACCUCGCUCUAAACUUUUUACUUGCACUUGUCAUUUUUAUUUCUCUUCCAUCUAAAUUGUAUUUGCAUUAUAUUGUAUUUUAUUAUUCAGUUGCAUCAUCCUGAAAUUAACCUUAGCGCGUAUUUUAUAAUUAACAUCUUUUUGUUCUUU